AUUUCUUUGAGGGCCGUCGUAGACGACGACGUCGAUAGGAUGCAGGUGUAAAGGUGGCGACACCAAAGCCGAGCAUUACUAAUUGCCCCUUCCCUUUGUGUC
rnacentral:rRNA from 1 species